rnacentral:snRNA from 1 species
AUUCCGUAAAAUUUAACGC